rnacentral:misc_RNA from 1 species
AGAAGAGUCUCAAUCAAUGGCAAUGAUGAAGGUGGGAAAUCUUUAAAGGUCUCAGCGAUACAUCUUCUGUAUGAUUGCUGAGGUUUGAAUAUAGUUGCAUGUGGAAGCCUUGACUUUUUCCAAUACUCUUCUGACGGAGAUCCGCAUAGCUUGAAGAUCUUGUGGAGCUGCUCAACCUCUGUACGACCAGGCAUAAUGGGCUUCCCAGCUAAUAGCUCAGCUAAAAUACAACCAGCACUCCAGAGGUCCACACCAACACCAUAGUCUGUGGCCCCAAGAAGAAGCUCUGGGGGUCUGUACCAUAAAGUAACCACGCGACUAGUCAUAGGCUGCUUUUUAUUGGGAUCGAAGACAGAAGCCAAACCAAAAUCUGCAAUCUUCAGAACUCCCCCACUGUCAAUUAGAAGAUUUGAUCCUUUUAUAUCACGAUGCAACACACGACGGUUGUGACAGUGUUCAAGCCCUGAUAAUAGUUGAUGCAUGUAACAUUU